GUACUGUGAAACUGCGAAUGGCUCAUUAAAUCAGUUAUGGUUUCUUUGAUGGUACCUUGCUACUUGGAUACCCGUAGUAAUUCUAGAGCUAAUACAUGCAGGAGUGCCCGACUUCGGAAGGGCUGUAUUUAUUAGAUAAGAAACCUUCUCGGGUUCGCCCGGUUGUGUGCUGAGUCAUAAUAACUGCUCGAAUCGCACGGCUCUACGCCGGCGAUGGUUCAUUCAAAUUUCUGCCCUAUCAGCUUUCGAUGGUAGGAUAGAGGCCUACCAUGGCGUUAACGGGUAACGGAGAAUUAGGGUUCGAUUCCGGAGAGGGAGCCUGAGAAAUGGCUACCACAUCCAAGGAAGGCAGCAGGCGCGUAAAUUGCCCGAAUCCUGACACAGGGAGGUAGUGACAAGAAAUAACAAUACAGGGCUACUUCUAGUCUUGUAAUUGGAAUGAGUACAACUUACAUCUCUUCACGAGGAUCAACUGGAGGGCAAGUCUGGUGCCAGCAGCCGCGGUAAUUCCAGCUCCAGAAGCGUAUAUUAAAGUUGUUGCAGUUAAAACGCUCGUAGUCGGGUUUCGGGUCGGGCCGAGCGGUCUGCCGAUGGGUAUGCACUGUUUGGCGCGGCCUUCUUUCCGGAGACCGCGGCUACUCUUAACUGAGCGGGCGUGGGAGACGGAUCGUUUACUUUGAAAAAAUCAGAGUGUUUC
rnacentral:rRNA from 1 species